rnacentral:snRNA from 1 species
AUCGCUUCUUGGCCUUUUGGCUAAGAUCAAGUGUGGAAGUUUCUGUCCUACUCUUUCGUAUAUUCAUCUUGGGUGCAACUAUAAGGCAGGAGUAGUAAUGUGAAAUAUUGUUAUUAAUCAUUUAGAAUCAUUUUGAUACCUCUCAGUUCAGUAAAUAAAUGAUCCAUGC